CAGGAUGAAGUCAUAAAACAAAAUGGAGUCACAUUUGCUUCUACUAUCACGACCUUAGCAACCUCUGCGAUCAUUCUCUAUGGCAACUGAAGGGAAACAAUAGUCAAAGCAAAAUUUGCAUCCUGGGAGAAGUGGAGGAGUAGUAGGUGUAUUUUCUUUCUCUAUUGGAGUAGAUCACUCCCAACAAGUAAUUCAGGUGGUUAUCUAAAAUGAUAUAGAGUGGUCAAAGUAUGAAGAAUGGAUUUUUUCAGAGAAAAGUCAAUGGAUUUUGAAGGAGAAGACUGAACACUGUAAUAUAAUGCUGAAUAUAAAACAGAUUUGAUGGUGAAGUUGAGUACACCCUUCCCAAACUUCAAAACUCCUUUAAAAUUUCUACUUAAUAUCUGAUGAAUUUUUAUUGGGCAAAAGAGUUACUGAGUAUCUAUAUAUAGCAACCAGGCCUUUCACAUGAAGUGGGGAAAGUUAAAUCAUGGAAAUGUCUGUCAUCAAUUAUCACUAAGGAGCUGAACAAAACUUAAUGUCUCCUGGAGUAAGUGGGGGUAUUGCCCAAAUUCAAUCUUUCUUUUCUUUUCAUGUGCCCAAAUAGUCUCACAGAUUCCAUUCUGGGGGUAACAUAGCUAUAAGAUUCAAUGUUAGGUUUGGAAUUUAUCAAGACAUUCAGGAAAAUGGCUUAAUUUCUCACAGUUGAUAAUCUCUUACUUGAUAAUUUAACAUAAGCAUCUUUUAAUAGGCGAUUGGAGAGUGGAAAUAAGAAUCUUAAAAAUAUUUUGCAAAAAUAACAGAAGUUUUAAGCAAUAUUUUGAGUGUGGAUAAAGGUUAUAUGUGUGUGCGUGUGUGUGUGUGUGUGUGUGUGUGUGUGUGUGUGUGUCUGUCUGUUUAAAAAUACUCUGUAUUGGACAAAAGAAAACUACUUUGGGGACAAAUAUCUCAUUAUCACGGAAAGAAAAUUUUAAUUCUAUAUCACAUGAACUAUGCACUGGAAAUCUCUCUGCUCCCUAGAGGGAAAUACUAGUCUGGAUGCCUUCAUUACUUGUACUUUAAGACACCUCAGGUUCUUUCCAGAUAGGAAAGAAGGUGCAUGAGCUGGAGGAUUGAGGUUGCUGAGUCUAAGGGUAGCUGCCACUUGGGAAGGUGAUGAGAAGUCAAGAAGAUUGGAUCCUGGGUAUGUGAUGAACAUCUGACUACAUAAUCCACAUGCAAACAUUGGCAGGAAUAUAAAAUCUUAGGCCACUGAAAAUGAGACCAUGUGCCUUUGAGAAAAUAAUCUCUGGAGAAAAAUAUUUUCCAUUAAAUCAAGGUGAUGAAUGCCAGUGAACUAAGAUUUGAUAUAUUUUUGGAUAUUAAAUCUUGUCUGUAAUUACCGAUUAUUUUUAUUAGCUUAUCUGUUAACUAAAUAUGCUACAACUUGUCAUAAUCCCAUGGUAUCAUUUAUUUAAAAAGGGAAGACGAUCAAGCCAAUGAUUGCUACAAUAGAAAAAAAAUCAACCAAAUGACUGUUUUACAAAUAUUCAAUUAUUAAUUUUGUCAGCCUAUAUGCAAACCUAUUUACCGAACAUGCUUUAUUCUACAAUUCCUUUGUGACAGGUUUUACAGUCUUUGUUAUUCUGUUUUCAAACAACAAAAUGUAAGAUGUCAUUUCUGUCUUUCUCACUUCAGUCUCCCAUCAAUAUAUCUUUCUCUUCUCACCCACAAGCCCAAUUGUGUUUAGAAUGUAAAAUAAAUCAGGUUUUAUUUUUUAAGUUGAUGAGGCUUUCAUAAAAUACAAAUCAGUAACUGAAGAAAAGAAUAAGCAAGAAACUUACAUGGAUGCUGAAUUUCCAAGGGCUUCCAGGAGCCUGGGAGUGUGGGAGUAAUGUUUUUUGAAAUGAUUAAAUGCUAGGAUGUCCCCAUGCAUAUAAUAAACGAUAUUAUUAUAUAAAUGAAUGUUCUAUAGCAAAGAUAAACUUUUUGUUAGCUGACCUUUGAAGAAGUGGGAACAGGAUUGUGAGUCAUUCAGCUUGAAUGACAUAUAAUUUCUCUUGUUCUUUAAAUUAUAAAAGUGAUUAGAACAAAAAUGACUUGAAUUUUCUGUUUUCUGAUGUAUUAAUAAAAUAAUAUAUCUGUUUUCAGUGUUAUAAUCUAAUUAUAUGCAAGAAACUUCCCCAAGGAUUAGAAAUAGCUGCUGUAUGCAAUAAAUAAUUUGCCCUUAUUUAUAAAAUCAAGAACAUAGGACUUUUUACUUAUCCCUUAUUUCAAGUACAGAACUUAACUGCAGUGAUCAUUGGUUCAGAAAAACUUUGAAUACUAGUGUGUCCAAACUAGUAUUAAUUUUAAAAACACAAAUUCUUCACUUUAUCCUUGGUUACAAGAAAGUAAAGAUGGUGGAGUCCAGUAGAAAUCUGUUCUCAUUUAGAGGGCAAAUUGAAUAAGGAAAUUUAAGACUCUAUUAUUGCUAUAAUGUAAUGCUGAAUUUGAAAAAUGAAGUUGCAAUGAAAUAAGAAGUGUAAAGGAAGCCAGGCUCUCCUUUAGUUACUGUCUCUCAGGAAACAUUAAGAAUUAUCAUAAAUAUGGACACUGUGUAUACAUAGGUGUAGAACAGAUUUCAGUAGACAGAGUGAAGAGAGUUUUCAUUUCAAAAUGCAUCCAAGGUCAAAAACGGCAUAAUAAACCAACACUUUAGUUAUAACUUUUCCUCAGCAUUCCUUUCUCCACUUCCUUUUGUCACAUUAAUAAUUACCCUUUGU